GGCAUUCCAAAUAGCAGCAAGGUUCAACAUGCCCCAGAAUUGUGUUCUAAGGUGGCAGGUAGGUUUAUAUAGGAAAGAUGCCAGUCACAAGCAACUAUGAGGAAGGAGUCUCAAGGAAGUCAACAAUAUAGAUCUUGAACUUGCUGAUGGCAGUAGAAAAGAAGUAGAGAGGGAAGAAACAAUCUAGGUGUCAAAGACAGAAGCAGACACAGGCCUGGAGAGCAAACAGGCUGCAGAGAGAAUGCUGUAGCCUGACAGCCAGCCAGUGCAGAACCGAGGAUGGUGCCUGGAACGGAACAACAGUCUGAAGUCGUAUCCCGGUUGUCCUAAUACUGAAGAAUGAGGAGUGUUCACCAAGCCCGGAAUUUCAGUUGGAGCACUGGCUUGAAAACGAUAUGGCAAAUUUCCCCAGAGAUCCCUUAGAACUAAUAGUCAGUGAAAUCCAAAAUUCUGAAAACCUCUGCUCUGAUUCAACCAAUCUUCUGCUGCCUAAAUCCCUAUGAACACGGUCAAGAAGAUGUCUGUCUGCCUACGCUUGAACAACUCUGAUGCCAAGAGUCUCCAGUGAUGUGGAAUCGCUGAUCCAAGAUAUGGUUGUAUGUGAGACAUGUUUGCUGAGCUCUGUGAAGGAAAAGCAAAGAUGUAAGGCUUGUAAAGAGAAAGCCAACAUGUAAAAGCAGAGCCAUUAAGAAAACAAGGACCAAAACACUGUUCAGUGAGAGGUGGUCAAAGGAAUGCAUGCCACCCUAUACCUCAGCCUUCCCUCAAUUUCAUAAUUAUGAAAAUCUUUCACAAAAAUAACUAUAAAAGCUAGAAUAUGCAAACCAUUCCUGAGGUCAGGGCUGCGCGUCUCAGUUUACCACCCAAAAUUCCUAUACUAACCUACAUCUAAUUUUUAGUUACACACCUUCAGAUUCAAUCAGAGGCAAAUGUCCCAUCAUCUUAAUAUCACCCAGACUCCUAAACGCAAGAGAAUCUAAACGUCACAUAUAAGAUCCAAAAAACAACAGGCAGAGAGAUAUGAAGCCCAGUGACAAUAUGAGAAUCAAAAAGGAUGAGGAGAACUUGGAGGCAAAGAGUGAAAGAGUGGAAAGAGUAGAAGAGAUCAAAACCUAAUUUCAAUGAGCCCAUCCCAUCCCAAAGGAACUAGAGAACCUGGGCAGUCAUCCCACCCCUCCAAGACAAUGUGCUAACAGGCUGAAGGGCAGCAAGGUGGGAUCUGAAAACAGUGUAAAACUGGCUAUCACAAGAGAAGGACGAGCAUAAGCUCCUCCACAGUGGCAGGCAGAGACAGGCAUUCAAAUAUUCGCAGAAUUAAUGAGUUAAUAAACAGACACUCACCCAAAGAGGAUCUGAGCUCCUGCUUCCAACCACAUCACCCAAGGCAUUUUAAGUCCACAUCAAACAUCUUUCCUUGCCUUAAAGCUCAGGUUAAAAAUCUAACCUUACAAGAAGCUGAGCCCUCCCGGGGCGCCUGGGUGGCUCAGUCGGUUGAGCGUCUGACUUUGGCUCAGGUCACGACCUCGCGGUAUGUGAGUUCGAGCCCCACGUCGGGCUCUGU